GAAUAUUGCACAAUGGGCGCAAGCCUGAUGCAGCCAUGCCGCGUGUAUGAAGAAGGCCUUCGGGUUGUAAAGUACUUUCAGCGGGGAGGAAGGGAGUAAAGUUAAUACCUUUGCUCAUUGACGUUACCCGCAGAAGAAGCACCGGCUAACUCCGUGCCAGCAGCCGCGGUAAUACGGAGGAUCCGAGCGUUAUCCGGAUUUAUUGGGUUUAAAGGGAGCGUAGGUGGACAGUUAAGUCAGAUGUGAAAUCCCCGGGCUCAACCUGGGAACUGCAUCUGAUACUGGCAAGCUUGAGUCUCGUAGAGGGGGGUAGAAUUCCAGGUGUAGCGGUGAAAUGCGUAGAGAUCUGGAGGAAUACCGGUGGCGAAGGCGGCCCCCUGGACGAAGACUGACGCUCAGGUGCGAAAGCGUGGGGAGCAAACAGG
rnacentral:rRNA from 1 species